rnacentral:lncRNA from 1 species
AUCAAUCCUAAACCUUAUAUUUUUUUUGAAAUACGAAACCUAAACCCUAAACCAUCAAUCUUAAACCUUUUUUUUUGAAAUACGAACCCUAAACCCUGUAACAUCAACUCUAAACCCUAAACCCUGAAAUAUCAACUAUAAACCUUAAACCCCAAAACAUCAACUCUAAACCCUAAAUCCUAAACCUUCGACUCUAAACCCUAAACCCUACUUCAACUCUAAACCAUAAACCAUUGAUACUAAACCUUA